UGUUGACAUUAUAGUUGUGCAGGCACUUUGUUGACUAUAGAAAACCUAGGGCGAAUCGCACAUCUCCGUAGCUGAGACUUUGCAUGCGGAUGUCAUCCAUAUCAACUUUCAAUGCCAGUUUCUGCGCCUACCAUUGUGACCACGGGUAAUGAGGAUUCAAGGUUCCAUUCUGUACAGGGACACUGAGAAACGGCUACCACAUGCAAGGAAGGCAGCAGGCGCGCAAAUGACCCACUCCCGACGGGGGAAGGUAGUGACGACA